rnacentral:rRNA from 1 species
CCUACCCUUGACAUGUCAGGAAGUCCGCAGAGAUGUGGAUGUGCUCGAAAGAGAACCUGAACACAGGUGCUGCAUGGCUGUCGUCAGCUCGUGUCGUGAGAUGUUGGGUUAAGUCCCGCAACGAGCGCAACCCUUGUCAUUAGUUGCUACGAAAGGGCACUCUAAUGAGACUGCCGGUGACAAACCGGAGGAAGGUGGGGAUGACGUCAAGUCCUCAUGGCCCUUAUGGGUAGGGCUUCACACGUCAUACAAUGGUCGGUACAGAGGGCUGCCAACCCGCGAGGGGGAGCUAAUCCUUUAAAACCGAUCGUAGUCCGGAUUGUAGUCUGCAACUCGACUGCAUGAAGUCGGAAUCGCUAGUAAUCGCGGAUC